rnacentral:rRNA from 1 species
CCCUUAGAUGUUCUGGGCCGCACGCGUGUUACACUGAUGCGUUCAUCAGGCACCACACCUUGGCUCGAGAGGCCUGGGUAAUCUUGAAAUCGCAUCGUGCUGGGGAUAGAUUAUUGUAAUUUUUAAUCUUCAACGAGGAAUUUCUAGUAGGCGUUUGUCAUCAACAAGCACCGAUUACGUCCCUGUCCUUUGUACACACCGCCCGUCGCUACUACCGAUUGAAUCAUUUGGUGAGGCCCGCGGACUGUUGUGCUUUCUUCCUCGUGUUGAUUGCACUUCUUGGGAAGCGGUACGAACCUGAUGAUCUAGAGGAAGUAAAAGUCGUAACA